AAUUAAAAUUUUAAUCCUCGUAUAUUCUUUGGCCAAACAAAGAAUACAAUGAAGUUAAUAAAAUAAAAAUGUGUCAACAAAAUAUUCUGGGACGCUGAAAAGCAGUAUAAAAAUAUGACACGAUCAGAUGACCACAGUAACAUAGAUUCAGAGGCCGGCUCUGUGCGUGUGGGAAGGAUCAGCAAGCUGGGGGCAGUGCUGUGCCCCGCGGUGUGUGCGCUGCUUCUUGUGGUGAUAUUCGCAGUAUCCUUCGUCGGUAGUAAGCUGGCUAUCGAUAGAUACGGCGCAUUCUGCACCAACCGACGGUAUACUGGCGCCAAACGAUAUGUGUUCCCCGAUCUUAAUCUCACUUGAUGGGUGUCCUGGGUAAAAGAAAAUAAUAUAUUUAUUUUGUUACAUUUUAGUUUUUAUCCUCGUGUCGUGUGUUUGUUAGUAGAAUGUUUUAAUACAAUUGGCAAGAUAUA